AUCGCCUAUAAGUAUGCAAAGCUAUUAGCCAUGGAUCAUAUAGCGAGAUUACCACUCACACAGCAGAAACCAGACUAAGAUAACAAAGGAAUCCGACCUGUUUCAAUCAUCAUGAAAGCACUUUUCAUGCUCUUCGUCGUGCUCGCUCUUGCCUCAGAGACCCUACAAGGGGCUGAUGCCAGGAGCUUGUUGGGUCCGAAGGAGCGCCAGCUUAUUGACACGGUCCACAAAGACAACACUGCCACCGCCAUGGGUGCAACGAAAAGCACUUCGACACCUGCCACUAUUACUUCAUCUUCAACAACCUCCACUGUGCCGUCCACGAAGACCAGCUCGUCACCGACCCGUUCGUCCACCAAUUCUAAAGCAGGGAGCAAGUCCACGGCUGAUGGCAAUUUACAUGCCCAGAGCAACGAUGUCGAUUUUUGGGGCGGGCCCACCACAGACCAGACGCACCAUGUGUGCCUCGACUAUAGCCAUCCAAAUAAAAGAUGCGUAUAAAGUUGGCGAUCAAUGACCACCAUGGUCAUUGAUGGACAACUGUGUGUAAUAAUGCUAGAUAAAUAAAGUGGAACAUCUAGUUUUCAUGCGAGAAGGUCGAUGGCAUAGAUAUGUUAUGCCGUUGUGCCGUGUGUGAUGUGUAUGUGUAUUUGUUUCUGGUUCCACAGCAAAAGUUUAACGAUAGACUUUUUCGUAUAUGCGUGUUUGUCGUGUGUCCUAAGUUAAAAAAUCUCAGAAAAAUGUAAGAAGGCAUGGUCUAAAUAUAGUCUAUGUCCAUGGUUUUUAUGAUU